rnacentral:RNase_P_RNA from 1 species
CACUGCGGACAGGUGGCCGCUGAUUCGGGCUUUCGGGCUCGAAACAGAGGAAAGUCCGGACACGGUAGGACACGGUGGUGGCUAACGGCCACCCAUGCGCGUGGGUGCGCAUGAGGGAAAGUGCAACAGAGAAGAGACCGCCGAACGCGCUUCGUCAUCCUUGCGGUGAUUGAGCGGCGUGGCAAGGGUGAAACGGUGCGGUAAGAGCGCACCGCUCCUUCGGCGACGAAGGAGGCAAGGCAAACCCCACCGCGUGCAAGCGCAAGCAGCUCCAUCCGG